GUACUCGCCUCAGCAGCACAAAUAUUAAAAUUGGAACGAUACAGAGAAGAUUCGCAUGUCACCUGUGCAAGGAUGACAUGCAAAUUCGUGAAGCAUUCUGUUUUUUC
ensembl:snRNA U6 U6 spliceosomal RNA